GACGAACGCUGGCGGCGUGCCUAAUACAUGCAAGUUGAGCGCUGAAGGCUGGUACUUGUACCAACUGGAUGAGCAGCGAACGGGUGAGUAACGCGUGGGGAAUCUGCCUUUGAGCGGGGGACAACAUUUGGAAACGAAUGCUAAUACCGCAUAAAAACUUUAAACACAAGUUUUAAGUUUGAAAGAUGCAAUUGCAUCACUCAAAGAUGAUCCCGCGUUGUAUUAGCUAGUUGGUGAGGUAAAGGCUCACCAAGGCGAUGAUACAUAGCCGACCUGAGAGGGUGAUCGGCCACAUUGGGACUGAGACACGGCCCAAAAUCCUACGGGAGGCAGCAGUAGGGAAUCUUCGGCAAUGGACGAAAGUCUGACCGAGCAACGCCGCGUGAGUGAAGAAGGUUUUCGGAUCGUAAAACUCUGUUGGUAGAGAAGAACGUUGGUGAGAGUGGAAAGCUCAUCAAGUGACGGUAACUACACAGAAAGGGACGGCUAACUACGUG
rnacentral:rRNA from 1 species